rnacentral:ncRNA from 2 species
UAGUGAUCAUGUAACUGGCGGAAAUGGAGUUAACCAUAAGGAGCAUGAUUUAAAAAAGUUAUCGACCGCCUGGGUAGAAUAU